rnacentral:rRNA from 1 species
AUUGAACGCUGGCGGCAUGCUUUACACAUGCAAGUCGAACGGCAGCGCGGGCUUAGGCCUGGCGGCGAGUGGCGAACGGGUGAGUAAUGCAUCGGAACGUGCCCAGUAGUGGGGGAUAGCCCGGCGAAAGCCGGAUUAAUACCGCAUACGACCUGAGGGUGAAAGCGGGGGACCGAAAGGCCUCGCGCUAUUGGAGCGGCCGAUGUCGGAUUAGCUAGUUGGUGGGGUAAAGGCUUACCAAGGCGACGAUCCGUAGCUGGUCUGAGAGGACGACCAGCCACACUGGGACUGAGACACGGCCCAGACUCCUACGGGAGGCAGCAGUGGGGAAUUUUGGACAAUGGGGGCAACCCUGAUCCAGCCAUGCCGCGUGCGGGAAGAAGGCCUUCGGGUUGUAAACCGCUUUUGUUCGGGAAGAAAUCCUCUGGGCUAAUACCCCGGGGGGAUGACGGUACCGGAAGAAUAAGCACCGGCUAACUACGUG